rnacentral:lncRNA from 1 species
CUUAAUUUAGAAGGCUUUUGGCAAUAGUUGUGCUGCUUUGAGUUAAAAGACUUUUGCCAAACAGUUGCACCCUUCAUCUCAUGUUGCAUUCUUCUUUGUUUUGAAACUUUCCAUACUAGGUUUCCACAUUUUUCUUCAAACUGCAAACCUCUAAGAAAAGCCAUGACGUUUGAAAAAUGGCCACAUCCUAAAGCUGUAAAUAAAGCACCUCAUAAUUCAUUUUUACGCAAUCAAAUUGAAUUAAUUCCUCUUUAUCUUCCUUGUCAAAUAGUUUUGAGAAAAUUUCUGCUUCAGGUUCUUGUCAAAGUUGAGGGAUAAAGGCAGAAGUUUUGUUCGCUGGUUCGUAUGGGAUUGGGACAAUUGCUCAAUAACCUUGAGCACUAGAGGAGGCAAACUUUCUUAACAAAAGAUCAUGAACUCGAUCAUAUCUAAUUGCUUGUUCUUAUGAACUGUAAGUUAAUUUGUCUACUUUAUGUUUUGCGAAACACGAAAGUGCCAUAUUCUAUUUGCAAUAGAUGAUAUCGCAUGAACAACCAGCGUACAUAGUUUUCCUUCAGGUUUAACUUAAUAUUUUUGAGUUCUUAUCUUUUUGAGAAUAUUCUUUUAGCGUGCACCUCAUUACCCAAAAUAAUUAAUAAUAAGAAGAAAAAUGAAAAGAGAGAAUAUUUCAUCGACAGAGGUUUCACACUCUGGUUUUACCAUUGCUAAAACACUUGGUGGCUAAGUUGUUUUCUUGUGUCAAAACAUUGGUAACCUCUUUUGGAUGUGUUCAUUCUUACAAUUAAAAUGACAAAAAUUUUGGGCUUUUACUAUCCUAUAUCUUAAGUUUUUUGUCCUAUUUUUUCUACGCAUCUUCUUUAAAUGAUCACCUCCCAAUAUAUUACACAAGCAAUCUUUUAGAAGACAAAGAACAAUACUAGAUAGAAAAUAUUUCAGAAGUUAAAGAAUAAUUUAUAUGCAUGGAAAGUUUUCAUUUUCUUUCUUUAAACAGG